CCUACGGGAGGCAGCAGUAAGGAAUAUUGGUCAAUGGAGGCAACUCUGAACCAGCCAUGCCGCGUGCAGGAAGAAGGCCCUAUGGGUCGUAAACUGCUUUUGUACCAGAGAAAACCCGAGUACGUGUACUCGGUUGAUAGUAUGGUAAGAAUAAGCAUCGGCUAACUUCGUGCCAGCAGCCGCGGUAAGACGAAGGAUGCAAGCGUUAUCCGGAUUCAUUGGGUUUAAAGGGUGCGUAGGCGGACUGAUAAGUCAGUGGUGAAAUCUCUCGGCUUAACCGAGAAACUGCCAUUGAUACUGUUAGUCUAGAGUAUAGAUGACGUUGGCGGAAUAUGACAUGUAGUGGUGAAAUACUUAGAUAUGUCAUAGAACACCGAUUGCGAAGGCAGCUAACGAAACUAUAACUGACGCUGAGGCACGAAAGUGCGGGGAUCAAACAGGAUUAGAUACCCUGGUAGUCCGCACCGUAAACGAUGAUUACUCGUUGUUGGCAAUAUGACCGUCAGCGACCAAGCGAAAGCGAUAAGAAUCCACCUGGGGAGUACGCCGGCAACGGUGAAACUCAAAGAGUAGUAGACGNGAGAGAGCGACGGAGACGACGAGGGAGGGAG
rnacentral:rRNA from 1 species